GGGGAAUAUUGCACAAUGGGCGGAAGCCUGAUGCAGCGACGCCGCGUGAGGGAUGAAGGUCUUCGGGUUGUAAACCUCUUUCAGCAGGGACGAAGCGUGAGUGACGGUACCUGCAGAAGAAGCGCCGGCUAACUACGUGCCAGCAGCCGCGGUAAUACGUAGGGUGCGAGCGUUGUCCGGAAUUACUGGGCGUAAAGAGUUCGUAGGCGGUUUGUCGCGUCGUUUGUGAAAACCCGGGGCUCAACUUCGGGCUUGCAGGCGAUACGGGCAGACUUGAGUGUUUCAGGGGAGACUGGAAUUCCUGGUGUAGCGGUGAAAUGCGCAGAUAUCAGGAGGAACACCGGUGGCGAAGGCGGGUCUCUGGGAAACAACUGACGCUGAGGAACGAAAGCGUGGGUAGCAAACA
rnacentral:rRNA from 1 species